rnacentral:lncRNA from 1 species
UCUCUAUGCUCGAUAAAUAUAUGGCUCUGUUGGAAUCAAAAGUCCAAUCUGAUUACCAAACCAAAAGUCCUUCGUCCUAAAUAUGGGUUUUAAACAAAGGUCCGCGUCUGUGAUAUGGGGUGCGACCAAAAGGAUUUUGAUUUAGCUGAAACUGCAACAUGAUCACAAUUGACUGGGUUUCUUUGCAAUAUCAAGAGACGUGAUGCGACUGCAACCAAUUAUGAAGCGCUUUCCUCUCUGCAACUGUUCAGACCUUACUUGACAAACUUGCUUCCAAAGAGUUUCUUAAUUACAUCACAAACACCAAGCUCGAUGUCUCACUCUUGAAACAGUUAAGAGCAACACUACACACUCUUCAACCUGUGCUAGACACUGCAGAGGAGAAGCAAAUCAAAACUCCUUCUAUCAAAGAAUGACUUGAUGACUUGAAAGAUGAUGUCUACGAUGCUGAAGAUUUACUCAACCAAAUUAGAUAUGAUUCCCUUCGAUGCAAAAUGGAGAACAAACUACCAGCAAUAAAACAACAUCAAAUUGUGAGAUGUGACAAUAUUUUUGAGAAAAAUAUACACAGUGGAACUGCUGAUUCUUUUCGUUCUGAAGUGGUGGAAACUGAGACCAACAACGCAAAGUUGGAACUACAAAAUUCUGUUGAUUCAGGUGCACAGAUGGAUGACAUGGAAAAACCAUUUAUAACCCCUUGUAAAGCAUUAACAGUAGAAAAAAAACGCCAUCGCCACCUUCAACCCGCAGCCCCAAGCGAAGACAUACUUUCCAUUCUUUUGCUCGCAUUUCACUGCAGUAAAAAUCAUAAUAACUUGGUAAGGCAGUAAAAAUUCACAAACAACAAAAAAGGAACGAGACGUUUUCACAAGAAAAAGUACAAGGUACAUGUUACCUUUUUCAAAAUAAGCAUCAAAAUGGGGUAGACAACAGAGCAGCGCAAGGGAGCGUCCUCCCAGGCCGAUAUCUUUUGAUCUCAGUGGCCAAUUCCAAACCCUAGCAGGAUGAAUAUAAAAGGGAGAAAUUUCUCCUCAUUGAGCGGCGACUACUGUUCAAAAAGGAAGAGGACGAACCCCUAAGAACACCACAACCAAAUCAAUCAGAGCUAUUCUUGAGAACCCAAACAAAUCUAUAAAAGCGUUGAGUCCAAAGGAAAAAGAAGAGAAGUGGUCACGCACCUGUUCAUUUGCUCCAAAGUACCCCGAUCCGGUAAAUUUAUUGCCCCUUUUUGCGUUUCAUUCCCAGAUUCACGAAUGUGUGCAUAGUUUAUCUCUUCCAUGCUUUGUUUUUAUUUCUCUGCAAAAUGAUUGUCCCCUUUUUGUCGUUUGAUGUUGGAGGUUGACGUCGUUGAUUAGGGUUCAGGAUUUGGUAGAUGUCAAUUGCAUUUGUUCUUUUUUCUUAAUGCUGAAGUUUGGUUCGUGUAAGGAGAAAUAGACUGAUUUAUUUCUGUAAGUGUUUCAAGCUGAGAAGAGAAAGGUUUGAGGCGGAUCAGAAUACUUCACGUUUCAGUUUCAUUUUUGUGUUAAAAUGAGUUUUAAGGCCAAAGAUGAACGGUACCUUUCCCACUGCCCGAGAUUAAUAUUGUUUUGUUUCUCCCUAGGCUUUAAUGGCCUUCUUUCUCGGUCACGACGUGUGGCCAUUGGGGUGGGAGAAUCUUGUCUCCACACGUGCCUUCCUAUGGAAGAGGGAGAGGCUUACUGGAUCUGACCCAUGGUUUCGGAUAACCCGGAUAGAUCCCGCCCCAUUUGGGCCUCCUAGGUUAACGACCCACCUCCGUUCCGUCUAGUUUGUUGCACCCUGAUGGGCCUUAGGAGCAUUCAGGGCCCACCUUUUUUCUGUUUGUGUUGGCAUUUGUUUUGUUUUUAUUUUUUCUCUUUUCCUUUUCUUUUAAGAAAUAAUUCUAUUUAAUUUAAAUGAAUUUUUGUUUAUCAAAUUAGAUUUUUUUAUCAAUACCUAAGUUUUAGUCAUAUAUUUUAUUAUUAUUAUUAUUAUUUUUAUUAUCAUCAUCAAUUAUUUAAUAUGACUUAGGUGGUGAUUCUUUCUUUUUUCGAGAUUUAUGUGAAUUAUCAUAUUUAUGCUUGUUUAUUCGUUUGUACAAAUUAUUGAUUUUGUGCGCGUGGUAUGUUAUAAUCAUGAUAGAACAUUUCAAUUUCAUUGAUCAAAACACAAUUCAAACCAAAAAAUAAAUCACCUAAUUCUCGAUUCAAUGUCGGGUCCCCAUUUCCAUACCUUUGUAAGUCGAUUGCUUGUAAGCAUCGCCAUCAACCUCACAUAGCUUACUCUUGGGCUUCCUUACAAUGAGACGGUUCUCUUGCACUUACGUUCAUGCAUUGCUAGUUGAUUAUUUUGUUCCAUUUUAAUUAUUCCAUUACUUUGAAUCCCCAUUUGACAAAAAUGUACCCUCGCUCCCAUGAUGUGUAAUGAUAUUCUACUGUUUUAUUUCUUUAUUUGCUUGACUGUUUAGUUAGCUACUAACACAAGAAUAAAAUCAACCAUUUCCAAAAUAUCAAAAAUAAGACUCGACCCAACGUCGAGUAUUUUUCCCAAUAAAUAAAUCCAUUCCAUUUCAUCCAAACCAUUUUAUUCAAAUCUUUCUCAAUCGUUCAUCAAAUGCUUGAUCCAAUGUCAAGCCAUUUUCAUAAUAAAAACUAAAAAAGACUUAAUUCAUAUUUAAGACCUUUUCAAUAAAUAUGGAAAUGGAACGUGGUGGAUACCACGCACUCCUGAGACUAGGGUUCGAGAUGGAUGUUUCGCCUAUCUUAGCUCUCGCCAUCAUCCAAAUCCAUCUAUUCUGUUUCUCCCAAACAUUCUUUCAAAUUUCUCUUAAACGUCCAUCAAUGCUUGAUCCAACGUCAAGUCAUUUUCAUAAUAAAACUCAAAAUACUUAAUUCCUAUUUAACACUUUGCAAAUAAAGAUGGAAAUGGAACAUGGUGGAUACCGUGCACUCUUGAGAUUAAGAUUCAAGGUGGAUGCCUCUCCUAUCUUAGCUUUCACCAUCAUUUAAAAUUGUCAAUGCGGUUUCUUCAAACCCUUUCCUAACCAAAUUCAAAAACACUUAAUUCUUAUUAAAUACUUUUGCAAAUAAGAUGGAAAUGGAAUGUGGUGGAUACCACGCUCUCCUGAGACUAGGAUUCGAGAUGGAUAUCUCGCCCAUCCAAGUUCUCGCCAUUACUCAAAAUACAUCAAACCAAUCAAUUUCUUUUCUCGCCGCCGUGCGAUUAAAUCUUAAACCCUUUCUCAAACGAAAGGUACUUUGUUUCAAAACAAUGCAAGGCAAUGUUUCUCCACCUGUUUUGGGUAGUCCAACAAUGUUUUUGUCGAUUUGACACAAAGUAGCUUUCGCUAAAAUCGACCAACAAACAAACAGAAAGGUACUUUGUUUCAAAACAAUGCAAGGCAAUGUUUCUCCACCUGUUUUGGGUAGUCCAACAAUGUUUUUGUCGAUUUGACACAAAGUAGCUUUCGCUAAAAUCGACCAACAAACAAACAUUUUCUACCCAGAACUACGUAAGCUUUGAGUUCUCUAUUGAGAUAUGUAGGAGCAGGAUUUGUAAAUCUUGUCAGGCCCACUAAUAAAAAACUUAGGUUUAGUCCUUUGUUGAAAAUCCAAAAACAUUCCUCUCUCUUCUAUUCUUUCUUUCCCACCUAAUAACUCAAAAGCCUAACAUUUCAAACUAACACUAACUCACACAACUAACCUAACGGUUCCCGUUGAGUACAACAGACGUGAGGGGUGUUAAUACCUUCCCCUUGCGUAAUCGACUCCCGAACCCUGAUUUGGUUGUGACGACCAUAAUCAUUGUCCUUCUUUCUUGGGUUUUAUCGAUAUUUCCCCUUUCCUUUUUAGUAAUAAAUAAAUUUCGGUGGCGACUCUGUUCAAUCCAUCAUUGCAAGCGUGCGGUUGCGCUUCGCUAGGUCGUAUUCCCAUUAUUUUUCGAGAUACAACAUAUGGCGACUCUGCUGGGGACAGUCGUUCCCUAAGUGAGUCAAGCCUAGUUAGAAUGUUUGUGUGCCUUUGUUUGUUUAAUUGUGUGGCUUUUCCUUUUCUUUAUUGCUUUUAUUAUCUUUAUUGUUAUAUUGAUAUAUCUGUUGUAUAUUGGUUCCAUUGUGAUGUUGGUAUUUGGAUGUUCUGAUUGCAAAACCAUGUGGGAAAGACUCUAUACCCGAGUCUAGAGUGAAAAAACAUAAGAUAGGACGAUGGUUGAGUAGUACAGACUCCCGAGGUGAAUACUUCGUAAGAGUCGGUACGAGAACCUCACUUAGAGUAGAUCCUUUUGUAAAUAUUGUCGCCCAAGGUGAAUACUUCGUAAGCUUCAAUGUUUCAAAGAGGUUCAUGACUCUAAGGACCUUUUAGAACAUUGAACCUUUGGCCAACUAGAAAUGAUGGUUGCAUAGUAUGGAUUCCCAAGGUGAAUAAUUCGUAAGAAUCGGUACGAGAACCUCGCUCAGAAUAGAUUCUUUAGAUGGAGUUGACGACCGGAAAGUAUUUUCCGUAAGCGUCAAACAUUCUUUUGAAUCCAUGACUCUGAGUACCCUGUCUAGAACCAAGUCGAUGGUUGCAUAGUAUGGACUCUCGAGGUGAAUACUUCGUAAGAGCCGGUACGAGAACCUCACCCAGAAUAGAUUCCCUUGAUGGAGUUGACGAUCGGGAAGUAUUUUCCGUAAGCGUCAAACAUUCUUGUGAAUCAAUGACUCUGGGGAUCCUUUGUAACAAAGCCCUAGAUCAUACCCGGUGAGAACCCCAUUUUGGAAAGCAAUCAGAUUUAUCCAUACCUCGGACCUUUGAACCUGUACCAAAAAACAUUGCACCCAUCCAUUUAUUGCAUACGCAUAAAAAGCAAAUCUCUUAGUUUGUUUCGCAUUAUUUCAGGAAUACAAGACUUGUUAGCAAAAUGAAUCCUGAGAGAAGAAGCACUUUUCAGUUCACGUACAAGAAUAUGGACCUCGCCAGCCUGCAAAAGUUGAGUGCCAAAGUAACACCAAUCAAACUCAAUAGCUUUGUGCAAGACUAUGGAAGAAUUCUGAACAUCCUAAAUGAGAAGAUGGACAUGAUGACCACAAUGACUAUUGCUCAGUUCUAUGAUCCACCUCUAUGUUGUUUCACGUUUUCUGACUUCUAAUUGGCUCUUACCUUAGAGGAGUUUGAGAGGAUCAUUGGCCAGAAUUUGAAGGAUCAUAAUCCGUUUCCGAAGUUUGAUGAAGGUAUUCCUCCCAAGAGGAUAGCUUUAGCUUUGGGUCUGAAAGUUUCCAAAGUCGUGGACAAUUGGGAUGUGAAGGGAGAUUUCAAUGGUUUUUCUAGGAAGUUCUUGGAAGAUCAAGCUAAGAAGAUGGAAAAAGAAGGGAAUUGGGAAGCUUUCUAUGUUGUGUUAGCCGUGUUGGUAUAUGGGAUGGUUCUCUUCCCAAAUAUUGACCAUUUCGUGGACCACCUGGCGGUGAGAAUCUUCCUCUCUGGUAACCCUGUACCGUUCCUCCUAGAAGACCUCCACUAUGCUCUCCACGAUCGUCAUGAGAAUAAGGGAGGAACCAUCUUAUGUUGUGCGCAGCAAUUGCAUGCUUGGUUUAGAUCUCAUAUGCCCGAAGAAGGCCCUUUUGUCUCAAAGGAACACAAGCCCUCCCAGAAGUUAGCUUCCCUCACCUCCAAUCAUGUUAAGUGGUAUAUCAGGGAUUGAGAAACUAAGGAUGUUAUUGUCAGCAUUGGAGAUUUCCUCAAUGUACCUUUGAUGGGAACCAAGGGUUGCAUCAACUAUAACCCCGUGUUAUCUUUGAGGCAACAUGGUUACCCUAUGAAUGGCCCUCCAAAAGCUGAAGCUUUAGAGCCUUUCAUCUUACACAGUGCUGAAGCAGAUCAUCCUAUGGUGAAAAAGAUCAAGAGGUCUCGGCAAGCCGUUAUAAAAAAGGGUAAGGAGUUGGGUAAGAGAAAUUGUAUCGCUCAAGAGCCUUAUACUUGUUAGGUUAGAGAGAGGGUUCAGAUGGUUAAACUCCCUUUUCCAUUUGAUCCUUUUAUCUAUCCGUUGGUUCCUGAGCCCGAACCCAUAUUACCUGAAGAUGUGGAGAAACUCAAUGCCCGUAUUAAGGAGCUGGAGUUGGAGAAUACCGACUUGAGGAUUAAGCUCGGCCGAGUCUCGGUAGAAAAUGGGAAUUUGAAAGAUGUCAACAAAAGAAGGACAAAGAGCUUGAAAUCUCCAACAAAAGAGCUAGGGAGUCUGAGGCAAGGAGAGAAAAGUUCGGACAAGCGCUCUAUAGCACUAAAUCUGUGUUCAAGUCAAAGGAGGAGGAGUUGGAUAAAGCUUUACUCCGGAUUCAAAAACUCAACAAGACUCUGGAAUUGACCUUUGAAAUGAAAAGGGAAGCACGACUGAUUUCUUAGACUCGUAAUCGUGAACUGGAGAAUACCAUUCAUAAAUACAAGGAUACUCUGGAACGCGAGAAGCUGGGGACUGAAGAGUCAGAAAGAGUUUGCACACGGCUGAAAUAUCAGUUGGAACAAGCCGAUGCUAGAAUCCAGGUACUUGAAGGUGGGGAUCAGGAUGCUGCCUAUAUGAUGUUGCUAGGUGAGUGCAGAGAACAAGCCGAUGCUAGAAUCCAGGUACUUGAAGGUGGGGAUCAGGAUGCUGCCUAUAUGAUGUUGCUAGGUGAGUGCAGAUAUUGGAGAAACCUCUAUAGGGACAUAGAGGUGACCAAGGCUGAAGCCUUGCACAUCAUUCAAGACCUCGAAGGGCUUUACACUUAGUGGAAGGGCAAAUUUCUGAGGCUGUCCAGAUUUGCGAAUUCCGUCAUGCGAGAGCUACCUGAGAAACUUCAAGAAGCUGAUUGGUGCAUGUGUCUAAAGAACACCCCACAUCAAGUCUUUAAUUUUAUUAAAUUUUGUAAGGCAAUGUUGGAAGGGCUGACUAUCGACCUUGCUACAGUUCGGAAAGCCCAUAAGCCAUAAGCACGUUGUUUGUAUUUGAACUUUGCUAUGAGUUAAUGAAAAAAUCGCUUUUGAGAUUCAUUUUUAUUGUGUUUUAUUUCCUUAUUACUUUAAAUAUUUGCGAACAAGUGUUGUGGCAUUUCUGAAAUAAAUGACUGAAACUAACCAAGAGUUUUGCAAACAAGAUGCAUCCAUACAUGCAUUCAUACAUUAUGAAAAUAGAGUCUCACCCCGCCCUUUCUUCCUCCAGUUUCACGCUGAAUUUUUAACACCAGUACCAUACUCGCGCCCGAGCAAGACAAAGGAUGGCUGAACAAGAGCAAGAGAGCGCCCGAGUUAGAGCUGAACUAGACGAGAUCAAGGGAGGCAUAUCCCAGAUGAGAGAGAUGUUGCAAGCCUUAACCUUCAGAUUUGAGGUUUCGCAAGCGACCGUGAUUUCAGAGACCACGGGCCCAACCGUGGAAGUCCAACCUCAGAGGACGUUACCCUUAACCCUUCCUCCAUAUGGGCUACCUUACGACUUCGUCCCUCGAGCGGAAGUAAUGCACGACAUGGGGCAACCUGUCCAACAAGCCGUGCCAUUACCGGUUUACACCGAUGCACGCCCGGCCAUCCACACCAUUGCUCCACCAGCUGCCUAUGCUAGGCACAUUCCGCACUUUGAAGAUCAACAUCACAUGUAUCAGACUGUCGACUCAACCGUUGUUGGUGGCGAAGUAAGAUUUGAGGAUUUUAGAGAAGUAAAGGAGAACAUGCAACUCCUUGAGAAGAAGUUCCGAGAUUUAGAAGGAUACCACGUCUUUGGAUCUGCUGCCAAAGAAAUGUGCCUUGUAUCUGGGUUGGUGAUUCCGUCUAAAUUCAAAACUCCAGACUUCGACAAAUACAAGGGGCAUACUUGUCCAAAGAUCCAUCUCAUCAUGUAUUACCGAAAAAUGGCUGCACACGUGGAAGGCAACAAGCUGAUGAUCCACUGUUUUCAAGAUAGCUUGAGUGGGGCUCCUUCCAAGUGGUAUUUAAGUCUGGAUCAAAAUAGGAUCAGGUGUUUCCAAGACCUGUCAGACGCGUUCAUAAAACACUACAAAUACAACAUGGCGCCUGACAGAAGAGAGUUGCAAAGCAUGUUCUAGCAUGACAAGGAGUCCUUUAAGGAAUAUGCUCAAAGAUGGAGGGAACUGGCUUCUCAAGUUGAACCACCUCUUGCUGAAAAAGAAUUGGCCGAACUAUUUAUCAACACUGUGAAACCCCAAUUUUAUGAGAAUAUGGUUGGAAGUGCUUCCUUGGGAUUCUCCAAGCUUGUUGCUAUAGGGGCUCGCGUCGAAUAUGGUUUAAGAAAUGGAAAACUGGCGGCUGUAGCUGGAACUUCAAAUGUUAAUCCAAAGAAGUUCUCUGGAGGGUUUCCCAGAAAGAAGGAAGGGGAAACAAAUGUUGUGACUGUUGGCCAGGGAAGAGCCCCUCCAAGAAGAAGACAACAACAAUAUUCACAACAGCAGUAUGUUCAACAACCCUUUACCUAUCAGCAGCCCAUGUAUCUCGUCCAGUACGCCCUGCAACCGUACGUAGCUGUUGUGACGUCUGCAUUCAAUCAAAGGCCUGCUCAGGCUUAUCAAGGGCCUCCAAUUUAUCGACCAACUCCAUUUUAACAAUGUGUUGCGAUUCCUCCGGCUCAUCAGCAAGCACCAGCAACUCCUGUCUAUCAACAGCCGAGAGCUCAAGCUCCAAGGCAAAAUGCGCAUAAUCAGAAUAGGAGGCAAGGGGAUAUGGAGACCUUCAAUCCAAUCCCAAUGUUGUACACUGAACUUUAUCCCUCCCUGUUGCAAAAGGGUUUGGUGGUUCCCAGACCUAUGGGACCUCCACCUGAUCGUCUUCCUCCAUGGUACAACCCUAAUGUACACUGUCCUUUUCACGAAGGUGCCCCCAGGCAUGACCUAGAGGGUUGUUACGCUCUGAAGCAUAGGGUUCGUGAACUGAUUAAAAGCAAGAUCCUGUCUUUUAAGGAUAUGGGACCGAAUGUGAAGAACAAUCCUCUUCCUCCCCAUAGAAAUCCUGCAGUAAACGCCAUUGAAGAUGCCUCUAUUGGUGUUAUGGUUGAUAAGGUGGAUGAUGUUAAGACUCCUUUGGCAGCAUUCCAUGCCCGAUUGGUGAAAGCUGGCCUGAUUAAUGUUAAUCAUGAAAAUUGUGAAGAGUGUGCCACAUACCCAAAGGGGUGUCAGGUGGUACGAGACAACAUUCAAGACUUGAUGGAUAAAGGAGUGCUUCAAUCUCCAAUGUUGUAAAGAACGAAGACGUAUUGGUAAUUGAACCUUGUUUCAAUUUACCUGAACCAGUUGAAAUCCCAUAUUAUAGUGGUGGAGUGGUUUCGGCGAAUAGUCAGUCGUCGCCUGUUGAGAUAUGUAUGCCCACGCCUUUUCCAUAUGAGAGCACCAAGGUUGUGCCUUGGAAAUAUGAGAUUACCGCUGUGGACAAGGUUGUUGAAGGAAAUGUAGACGUCGAAGUGACCGAAGCUGUAAGUGAGGACGUCACCAAUAUUGCAGGAAUGAGCAGAAUGACGCGUAGUGGUCGAAUCUAUACGCCUGAAUUCAAUGUGACUCCUCAAGGGCCAAACAAGGAAUCAACAGUCGCAGCUCCUGCUAAAGAACCCGAAGUGGUCCUAUCCGAGGAUGCUGUUGAAUUCUUGAAGUUGAUCAAGAGAAGUGAUUAUAAAGUGGUGGAUCAGCUACGUCAGACGCCCUUAAAGAUAUCUAUUUUGUCUCUGCUAUUGAACUCCCAAGCCCAUAGGGAGGCUUUGUUGAAGGUGCUUGCCCAAGCUCAUGUAACGCAAAGCAUAACAGUUGACCAAUUUGAUGGAGUAGUUGCUGUAAGACCCCAAUUUUGUCCCUAAGAUCCCUCAUGGCAUCAUAUCAUUGCAUUGCAUAAGCCUCAAGGAUCAUUUGACACCUUGCUUCCUUCCCUGUGGGUGGGAUAUUUUUGAGAGUAGUUCUUGAUCGCCAAGCAUUGCUUGCAUUUGUAUAUCAUUGCUUUUCUUUUAAUCACUAACCAAAAAUGUACAAAAAUAUGUCAUCUAACAUUUGUCUUGCAGCUUAAGCAGUCAGCAGGUCAAGGCAUUCAAGUGAAUCCUUUGUGCAAGAGUUGAGGUUUUCAUUGAGAUUUGGAUCAUGUGAUCAUUGUAUUGAGCUUAUAUGAGCUAUAGGUCCAUUUUGGAGCAAAUUUCCCAAGUGGCAAAGGCCCAAGUUCAUCAGAAUAUUUUCAGGUCAUCUAAGGACCAAUGCCAGUCAACUGAAAGUCAACUGAAGGCUUUGAGUGUGAGAAUUGAGUUUCUUCAUUCCAUUCAUGUCCAAACAAGGCUUAUUCAUCAUGUCAAACAUCCACAUUGAAGAAUUUGAAGCUAGUACAAAAGUUUCCAAAAAUGGAAAGUCACCUAUAAUUUCAAGUUUCCAAAAAUGGAAAGUUUUUGGACCAACUUCAACUCAACUUUCCAACAUCAAAGAAGCUUCAAAUGAAUUUUUGUCCAACAUGAAAGUUGAAUAUCUCUCUCUCCCAUUUCCAAAAAGUUCAAGAUCAUGAGCAUCUGAUGAAUGGUUAAGGAGAUAUGAUCCAAUCAUUGCCAAGUAUGCAUGGAACUUCAAAAGGCCAUAACUUUUGAUUCAUAACUCCAAAUUGAGUGGCCUCUUUUGGCAUUUACUUGUCAUGGCAUAUAUUUUUCAAAUCAUUCAUUACAUUGCAUGAAAUUUCAUAUAUGAUCAUUUGUUCUUUCAUGCCCAUUUUGGAGGGAAAAGACAAAUUUGAAAUUGGUGCAUUGUAUGAAACAAAAUACCAUUGCCAUUAUGCUUAUGAGAUGAUUUUAAGUGAAAUUGAUCAUGCACAUGCUACUGUUCACGUCCAAAUGCUCCAUGCACCUCACAAUUUCAAUUUUUGGUCAUGCACCCCAUUUUCACUAAUCUCAAUUAAACCAAUGCCUAAUUACAUUUUCAGUAUGAUUAACACAUGGUAUAAAUGCUAAACCCUAACAGAAUUCUGGAGUUUUGGCUGAUUCUAGAUCCAAAUUUCUCUUCCUUCCAAAUUUUUCUCUCCAUUGAAAUUCAAAAUUCCUCCACAUAGCACCUUGAUUUCAUUGUAUAUUCUUGUUCUCUGAUCUUCAUUUAGUGCAGAUCAAGCUUUGGUUUGAAAGAUUCGAGUGGAAAUCAAGCAUAUGAAGCUUAAGAACAUAGCAAUGGAAACUGAUUUUUGAGCUAGAUCCAAGCAGUUCCAAGCCUCAAUUUCUACUUCAAACUUCAUAACAGUGAUACAGGAGUGGAUUUGGAUCGUGUGAGGCCUUAAAUCUACAAAUUCCAGUAACUGCUCUUCAAGAGGUAGGUUUUUCGAAGCUCUUAAUUCUCCAAUCUUUUUCCAUGUUAGUGUAGAUCUUCUCUUGCUGAUCAUGCUGAUGAAAAUUUCAUGUGAAAUAGUUGAGUAUUGGCUGUGUUAUGAUGAUUUAAAGUUUCAGAUGUAGAAAUGUUUGUCUUCGAUUCUCUUAAUCCAUGGCUUGUUUUGAUUAGUUGAUGUUAGAUUUAUGAUGUACAUGACAAGAGCUUUCGAUUGGUGUACUUUUCACUUGAAUCUGGAUUUUUUUUUUUGAAGUUCAUACUGUUCCUCCACCGUCUUCAUGAAGAAGACGGUGGUUUCCUCCGUGCACAGCCGUAGGUGAAUAGUUUUAGGGUUUGUCUGGUUCAUGCAUUUCCAGUUACUGUUUGAGCGCCUUGUAUGUUCAUAACGUGAGUUCGAUCCUUUCCUAUUGCAUUUUAUUUGUUUUAAUUUUGCUGACUAGCACUUACAUGGCACACUGGUGUCACUUCUAUUGGCUCAUCUUGCAUUGACCGCUUCCACGCCUGCAUUGACCAUUGAUGUGGCUAGCCACAUCAGAUUAAUGGAACGUUGCGUUUAGACGCGCUUCCUUGGGCCUCUAGUUCCUGAGUUCGAACCAGCCUAAAUGCAAUUGCCAUUUUAUUCAUUCAUUUCAUUAUUUUCAUAUUUUUUGCAAUUUUUAUUUCAUUUUACGCAUGCUUAUUCAAAAAAUCCUUAAAAAUAGCUUGAUGAUCCAAUUAAUUCCAGAUUUUUUUCUACAUGAUCAUAUGAAUGUCUUCUAUUUUUUGAUGUGGAUUUCUGGAAUUGUACCUGGCUGGAAUUUUAAUUGUGUUAGAAUAAUUGAACAUGUAUGCAUUUGUGACAUGCCUCAUUCAUUCUAUUGUGAAAUGCUCAAUAAUGAUCCAAUUGCCAUGAAAUUUUGUAUGCUGAUUCUUAACAUGAUGAUUGACUUGUGAGAUUUGAUUGUGAAUUUUUAGCAUUUUUCAUCACUGUUUUAUACACAUGAUUGUAUGGUGUCACACAAUUGGAUGUCAUACUUGUGCAUUUUCAUUUAUAGGUCAAUUGAACUCUGUUGAUUCUGAUUUUUGGCAUGAUGAUUAUAUUUGACAUGUUGUAUGCUCAUAAAAAUUUCCAGAAUUGUUUGAGUCAUUUCUGUUUUAAUAUGGAAUUUUCAUUCUUGAUGACCAAUUGUAUGCACCUUUUGCUUGCCUUGCCAUAUCUUGCUCAUGAGAUGACUUUGCUUGAUGCUUUUGACUUGGUCCUUUUUAGGACAUGUUCUCAUGUGUUUAAAGUUGCAUUAUGUUAAGUAUUAGCUUCUGUUUUGACUUUUUUCUCCACCUUUGGCCCUAGGUUUUUCCCUAGGGGUUUAGACUCACAUUUGAGCUUUGUAUUUCAGGAUCAAGCCUUUAGCUCCAUGGUUGAUGUUGCUUCCUCAUUUGAGCUUUGUUUGCUACUUUGUUUAACUAAUUUUGAUUGUGUUGUAGGUCCUUGGGUGGCUAACUCACUUGAGUUGUUGACUUGCAUUGUGUAUAUUGGUUGUUUGACUGUUGUUAUCUGUUGGUUGUUUGUCUGAACAUAAUACUGAUUGUUUAGCUUUUCAUACAGGUACCUUAGCCGCUUUAAGUUCAUUUGAACUUUGCUUAGCUUGUGGUUGGCAUACCACUUAGGUAAUUUCCUUAACUCCAUGUAGUCUGGAAGACCUGUCAUUUUCUUUUGGCAGGCACCUGUCUGAAGUCCUCCUUAAGAGGCAAUGUUUGUGUAUGUUUAUCUUUGUGCUUAAGACCUCCUUGUCGAGGCAUACAGGUUAAGUCCUCCUAAGUGAAGAGGCAUUGGAAGAUAGAAGGGAUGUGCAAUCCAUCCCCUGCUAUUCAGUUGAGUCUUUCAUAUUGCUCGCACUACGUGCUGAUGCAUUUGAAUAAACACCCAAGAUCAUUGUAUAUCGAGUCGGUCAUGUGGAGUAGACUCGCACUACGUGCUGAUGCAUUUGAAUAAACACCCAAGAUCAUUGUAUAUCGAGUCGGUCAUGUGGAGUAGAGUUCCUCAUUCUGGACUCCCACACUUUCAUUGAUUCAAGCUCACCCAGGCCAGGGUUAAGAGCUAUGAGGUCUAACCCUUAUUUCCCAUUUCAUCUGCUUCACCCUAACUCUCAAUGUUAGGGUUAAGAGCUCAAAACACCCAUACAGUACCGACUUGUUUGUCGAGGUUGACAUGACCCCUUGACUAAAGCCUAACCUUGAUUGAGCCUCUUGAUUGUGUAUAGUGUGUGCUAAUUGAUUGAUGUGAUUGUUUGUGUUUGCUUUGCAUAUUGUUCUUGCAUAUUGCUUUUGUAUAUUGUUGUUGCAUAUUGCUUUUGCAUUUGUUAUUUGCUUUGUUUGAGGAGUCAGGUAUAAGACCAUUGAUUAGCCAUCUGUUUCCUGUUCCUAUUGGGGAGCUGGAUAUAAGACCAUUUAUUGGUACUCCAUUUCCUUUCCUGUUUUGUUUUGUGGAGUCAGGUGUAAGACCAUUGAUUGGCUACCUGUUUCCUUGUUUAUUUUGUUUUGAGGAGUUAACUAUAAGUCCAGCUAUUGGCAUUUUGUUUCCUCUGUGUUAUUCAGGAGUUAGGUAAUAUCAUUGAUUGGCAUCCUGUUUCCUAUUCUUUGUUCAGGAGUUGGAAGGAAGACCAUUGAUUGGCAUUCUAUUUCCGUUGUUGUGGAGUUGGAUUUAAGUCCAUUGACUGGCUUUCCAUUUCCUCUUUCUUGCUUGUUUGCUUAUUGCUUUGUGUUGCCUAUUCCAAAGGAACCAGUUGGAUCAUCUAUAUAUGAUCUCAAGAGAGGAACUCCUAUGAAGUUUUGCUCCUCAUCCUCCCACCUUUUUGUUCUUAAAACCUCCAUUUGCAUGUUAACCCAAACCAGAAAACUAUUGUGCAAACAUUUUCACUUGUUUUCAAAACUAGAAACCUAGGCCUUAUGCCUUUGAUUUUCAAACUUCAUUAUCACAACACUUCUUCUGAAUUGAAUUCUAAUCAUACCUUGACUUCAUUUUGUGAAUAAUUCUAAUUGAUUAAUUCCACUCAUUCAAUUGUUUUGUGGCUUUGUCCAUUUCUUAAUCAAGUUUUCAUACAUUAGCCAUAGAUCUCAAUUAUCUUAGUGGUUGAUGUGAAUCUCACCUUUUGUCCUUAGUGAUUGAAUUGUAAGACUUCCUUGCUUAUUAUAGGGCAUAAUCCCUCACUAGCAAGUUGAAGCUGUUCUCACAUGGUGGACUUGUGGUUGUAUAGGUUGAGUUUUCACCCGUGGAUAACGAAAGACCUUAAGGCUUUUGUUUAAAAUCAAACCACUUAUCUUUUUUUGGAAAUCUUUUAGCCGAACUACGAGGUUUUGAUCCUGUAAAGGUACGUAGGCAAUGGAUUCUUCCAUCCAAACACAAAAAUAAUUAACUUGUACAUUCUUUUCUCAUCCCUUCAUUCGUGUUUGCACAAUAAAUAUUUCAUAAACAAUAAUCUUUGCAACAAGUUGUGAAAAGGGUUCCCUAGGAGUACCUAGGAUGCAUUGGGUGCCUAACACCUUCCCUUUGCAUAAUUACCCCCUUACCCAAAUCUCUGUACCCCUUUUUAUUAGUUUUCUUUGUAAAACUUCUUAGGCUUUUGUUCGGUUUCUAGCCAUUCCUUUGGAUAAAUAGAAGUGCGGUGGCGACUCUAUCUUUUGUAUGAUUUACCUCGGAUCUAAUCAAUAUUUCCGAUGGUGACGAAUACACCGCUACAGUUGCAAAUAUCAUAGCUUGCAAUACUUUGAGCUUCAGUGGAGAGGAAUUACCUAAGGAUGGACAAAAUCACAAUCGUGCUCUCCAUAUCUCAGUGAAAUGCAAAGAUGAUGCUUUGGCAAGAGUCUUGGUUGAUACCGGAUCUUCUCUGAAUGUUAUGCCAAAGAGAACACUCGCCAAGUUAUCUUAUCAAGGACCAGCUAUGAAGCCUAGUGCCUUGGUAGUGAAAGCUUUUGAUGGUUCCAGGAGAACCGACUCUGAAUGUUAUGCCAAAGAGAACACUCGCCAAGUUAUCUUAUCAAGGACCAGCUAUGAAGCCUAGUGCCUUGGUAGUGAAAGCUUUUGAUGGUUCCAGGAGAACCGUGAUUGGAGAGGUUGAAUUUCCCAUAUUAAUUGGUCCUCACGUAUUCCCGAUUAAUUUCCAAGUCAUGGAUAUUAAUCUAGCAUAUAACUGCUUAUUAGGGCGUCCCUGGAUUCAUGCUGCAGGGGGAGUUACCUCCACCUUACAUUAGAAAAUGAAGUUUGUAGUGGACAACCAAUUAAUCAUUAUCUCUGGGGAGGAGGACUUUGUGGUUAGUCACCUUUCAUCCUUCAGGUAUAUUGAGGUUGAUGAGGAUGCUUUGGAAACUUCUUUCCAAGCUCUUGAAAUAGCCAACGCCACUUUUGUGGAGAUGAAGGACCCGGUUGGGAAAGCUUGUUCGUCUUUCGCUUCUCUGAAAAGCACAAAGUCUAGCAUUGAAGGAGGAAACCCUGAAGGUUGGGGUCAGCUUAUUGAUAUUCGUGAGAAGCAUGAUCGCUUUGGUCUGGGAUAUGUGCCUUCCGCUAUGAAAGGAGCCUGAUUCCCUCCAAAGGACAACACCCGAAGCAUCCAGGAAGUAUUCCUCAGCACAUGAUUCAUCCAUGGAGAUCACGUCAAUGCAAUUGAAAACAACACCGAAAAUGAAGAUGAGCCAUGUUUGGUUUACCGGUGUGAGACAGCUUUGAACAACUGGAAGGCGGUUGAGAUCCCCAAAAUUUUUCCUUUGUCAAAGUAAUAAUUGUUGUUUUUUUCUUUUCAAAUCCUUAGCUCUUCCCAAGGCUAACAGAUCAUGUUGUAGGGCCCCUUUUCAUUUUCAAAUAAUCAUUAUCAGUGAAUGAAAGGCAUUUUGUUAAAUUCUUAUUAUUCAUUUAUUUCACUUUCUCUUAAGAAAAUGACAAUCUUUUCAAAAACAAAGACAAAAAAAACUUUUCAUUUAUGCAUAUUUUAUUUUUACUUUUCUAAAAGAAAUCAAUCAUUCAAACAUGCAGAAUAAAUGAUAACCCCGUUGAAUCCAAUGACUUUACUCCCUCUCAUAACUUUGACUCCCCUAUAUACCAAGUGGAAGAAGAGGGUGUGGAAGAUUGUUACAUCCCCGACGAAUUGGCAAGGCUGCUCGAGCACGAGUCCAAAGCCCUUCAGCCACAUGAAGAACCGGUGGAAACAAUCAACCUUGGCACAAAGGAAGAGAAGAAAGAAGUCCAGGUCGGCACCACGCUUGAAGAAAGCGUCAAAGAGAGAUCGGUUAAGCUACUACAAGAAUAUGUGGAUGUAUUUGCAUGGUCAUACCAGGAUAUGCCAGGCCUGGACACCAACAUUGUUGAGCACAAGCUGCCACUUCAGCCAGACUGCCCGUCAGUAAAACAGAAACUCUGAAGAACAAGACCAGAUAUGGCUCUGAAGAUUCGUGAAGAAGUCAAGCGACAAUUUGAUGUUGGUUUCCUCGCAGUGGCGAAGUACCCACAAUGGGUAGCUAAUAUUGUACCUGUUCCUAAAAAGGAUGGAAAAGUGAGGAUGUGUGUUGACUAUAGGGAUAUGAACAAAGCUAGUCCAAAGGACGAUUUCCCUCUACCACACAUUGAUACUCUGGUAGAUAACACUGCAAGUUUUGCUGUAUUCUCCUUUAUGGAUGGUUUUUCUAGGUACAAUCAAAUUAAGAUGGCACUAGAUGACAUGGAGAAGACCACUUUUAUUACCCCUUGGGGCACGUUUUGCUACAAGGUAAUGCCUUUCGGUCUAAAAAAUUUCUGGGCAACUUACCAAAGAGCUAUGGUCACUCUUUUCCAUGAUAUGAUGGACAAGAAGAUAGAGGUCUAUGUUGACGACAUGAUUGCUAAAUCCCAGAAUGAAGAAGAUCAUAUGAGCCAUCUGAAGAAGUUGUUUCAACGCCUCAGAAAGUUUAGAUUACGAUUAAACCCUACAAAAUGCACAUUUGGUGUCCGUUCAGGGAAGUUGCUUGGUUUCAUCGUUAGUCAGUGAGGAAUUGAAGUGGACCCUGACAAGGUCCGAGCUAUACAAGAAAUGCCUGCUCCACGCACCGAGCGAGAAGUUAGAGGUUUCCUUGGGCGUUUGAAUUACAUCUCAAGGUUUAUCUCACAUAUGACGGCCACAUGUGAGCCUAUCUUCAAAUUGCUUCGAAAAGAUCAAGUCGUUAAAUAGAAUUCUGAUUGUCAAAGUGCUUUUGAGAAGAUUCGUCAAUACUUGCAAGAGCCGCCUAUUUUGAUUCCACCUGUCCCAGGAAAGCCAUUAAUCAUGUAUCUAACUGUGCUUGAAGGGUCAAUGGGAUGCGUGCUGGGGCAACAUGACGAAACUGGUAGGAAAGAACAUGCUAUUUAUUAUCUGAGUAAAAAGUUUACCGAUUGUGAAAUUCGAUAUUCACUUUUGGAGAAAACUUGUUGCGCGCUAGCAUGGGCCGCUCGUCGUUUGAGGCAGUACAUGAUUUGCCAUACUACUUUGUUGAUCUCGAAGAUGGAUCCAAUAAAGUAUAUUUUUGAGAAACCUGUCUUAACUUGAAGACUUGCUCGUUGGCAGAUGCUUUUGUCAGAGUACGAGAUCCAGUACGUAACCCUGAAAGCAACCAAGGGAAGUGUUUUAGCAAAGUGUCUUGCUCAUCAACCAGUUGAAGACUAUCUGCCAUUGAAGUUUGAUUUCCCCGAUGAGGAUAUAAUGGUGAUAAAGGAUUGUGAGAUCCCAGGCCCAGAUGAAGGACUAGAACUAGGAUCUCGAUAGAAGCUCGCGUUUGAUGGUUCCUCCAAUUACAGUGGUCAUGGUGUGGGAGCUGUUUUGAUGAACCCAAAUGGUGGCUUUACCCCUUUCACAGUAAGGUUAUGCUUUGAUUGUACGAAUAAUAUCUCAGAGUAUGAAGCUUGUAUCCUUGGUCUUGAAGCCGCAAUUGAUCUCCGAAUCAAGAUCCUUGAGGAGUAUGGAGAUUCAGCCUUGGUGAUCUAUCAGGUCAAAGGAGAAUGAGAAACUCGUGAUGCGAAGCUGAUCCCGUAUCGUGCUCAUGUUGUGAAGAUGAUAGAAUACUUCAACGAUAUCACUUUCCAUCACAUCCCAAGAAUAGAAAAUAAAGUGGCUGACGCUUUGGCAACAUUAGCAUCAAUGUACCAAGUCAGAUUCCAUAAUGAAGCUCCACUUAUUCGAAUCGAGCGAAGAGAUGAGCCUACGUACUGUCAAUCGAUUGAAGAAGAAACUGAUGGUAAACCUUGGUUUCAUGAUACCAAGAGAUAUCUUCUAAGUCAAGAGUAUCCAGAAGAUGCUACAUUGUUGGAUAACAAAACUCUAAGGAGGUUAUCAUCCAAAUUCUUUUUGAGUAAUGAUGUGCUUUACAAAAGAAACCAUUACAUGGUUCUGCUCAGAUGCGUAGGUAGACACGAAGCAGACAUGCUAAUCAAGGAAAUUCAUGAAGGAUCUUUUGGAACUCAUGCUAAUGGACAUGCCAUGGCCAAGAAGAUUUUGAGAGCUGGCUAUUAUUGGUUGACCAUGGAGUCCGAUUGUUUCAGCUAUGCCAGAAAAUGUGAUAAAUGUCAUAUUUAUGCUGAUAAAGUGCAUGUACCGCCAACACUUUUGGAUGUUUUAACAUCGCCUUGGCCCUUCUCAAUGUGGGGCAUCGACAUGAUUGGUGCUAUAGAGCCUAAGGCUUCCAAUGGUCAUCGUUCCAUCCUAGUUGCCAUUGAUUACUUUACUAAAUGGGUGGAGGCUGCUUCCUACACCAAUGUGACGAGGCAUGUGGUUGCUCGCUUUAUCAAGAAGGAGAUUAUCUGCCGCUACGGGAUCCCUAGCAAGAUCAUUACAGCAACGGUUCAAACUUGAACAACAAGACAAUGAUAGAAUUAUGUGAGAGUUUCAAGAUUGACCACCAUAAUUCUUCUCCAUAUCGUCCCAAGAUGAACGGUGUUGUUGAAGCCGCCAACAAAAACAUCAAGAAGAUCCUGCAAAAGAUGGUGAAAACUUAUAAUGAUUGGAACGAGAUGCUACCCUUUGCUUUGCAUGGAUAUCGGACCUCAGUCCGCACUUCAACACGGGCAACCCCAUUCUCCUUAGUGUAUGGGACGGAAGCAGUUCUCCCAGUCGAAGUAGAGAUACCUUCAAUGAGAAUAUUGAUGGAGGCCAAGCUAGACGAAGCUGAAUGGAUCCAGAACAAUUAUGAUCAACUUAACCUCAUUGAUGAGAAGCGUAUGACCGCUAUGUGCCAUGGACAAUUGUACCAAUAACGAAUCAAGAAAGAGUUUGACAAAAAGGUCUGUCCUCGAGAGUUCAAGGAAGGAGAUCUCGUGCUCAAGAAGAUAUUUCCAGUACACAAGGAUUCACGUGGGAAGUGGACUCCCAACUAUGAAGGCCCGUACGUUGUAAAAAGAGCAUACUAUGUAGGUGCUCUAUUUCUCACAACUAUGGAUGGAGAAGAGCUCAUUCACCCUGUGAACUCUGAUGCAGUCAAAAGAUAUUAUGCCUAACAAAAACCAGGUGGACUGAAAACCCGAAAAGGCGGUCCAUGCAAAAGUUAAGGAUAAUAAAAAAAAUGGUAGCUCGCUAAGUUGAAAACCUGAAAGGGCGACUUAGGAAAAAAAGAGCGCCUCGGUGGAUUGAAAACCCGAAAGGGCGAUCCAGGCAAAAAUUAGGGACAAGAGGCAUAAAUUGCAUCAGUUGUCACUAAUCAAUACAGAAGAGCUAAAACUGGAAGAUCAACCCAAAUGCUCCCUUCAAAAGCGAGGUUUUGUGGAGUCAUUGUUAUUAGGGAUAGUUAGUCAUUGCGAUUCGAUGUAAACCUUUCCCUAUUACCAUUUUAAAAUUUGUAACAUUCCAUGGAGCUACACCAUUUGUGUGCUACCAUUCUUGAAUAAAUACAAGUUUUCCUAUCAAAUUCUAUCAUUUGCUGUUUUUCUCCGAUUCUCUUUGUUAUGCAAAAUGUCAUUUAUUUGUUAAUAAUGAAAUUUUGAACUCAAAAAGAAUUUUUCAAUACAUUGAGAAACACAAUUUUGCUUUGACAUGUUGAAAUAUUAAAAAGGAAACCUUUCAUCUUUCCCUGCAAGUCUCAAGUUGCAAGACUUCUCUUGGAUGAUCAACAUAUGUCUCCAGAGAGCACAUAUUUAGCAUUCUCCCUGGGCCAGUUAUAACUGUUCAACUUGAUAGAUCCUCCUUUGAUGCAUUUACUCACUCUUUCGGUUGAGUUAUUGGUAUUGAGGAUUCAGUACCUCCACAAAGCUCUCCCUAAUUUCUAGUCUGUAUAUUGUCAGCAUUUGCAUAUCGUGAUCAUUCAUAUAUCAUGCAUAUAAGCAAAAUCCAAGUCAUGCAUAGCCCGAAGUGCUUCGCGCUCAUUUGCAUAAUCUCAGGUCUCGUUGUUGAUUGUAUCCCUUGUAUCCCUUGCUCAUUCAUAUACUGGUGUCGUUUGUUAAGACUGGUUGUCACCAGCAUCUUUUGAAAUCCAGUCGUAACUGGUAUCUCUUCAAAUCUGGUUGUCACCAGCAUUUUCUAUCAAGUCCAAUUGUUAUUGGCAUCACCUGUUAAGUCCAGUUGUAACUGGCGUUCGAGUGUUAAAAUCCAGUUGUAACUGAUAUCUCUUUAAAGCCUGGUUGUCACCAGCAUCUUGUCUCAAAUCCAACCAGAAUUGGUACCUCAAGCACAGUUGUAACUGGCGCUUUGAUAAAACCAUUUGUCAAUGGUAUGAUAAGUCUGGUUGUAACCAACAUUGUUUGCAAGUCCAAUUGUUAUUGGCAUUAUCUGUCAAGUCCAUUUGUUAUUGGCAUGACCUGUUAAGUCCAGUCGUAACUGGCGCUCAAAUGUUAAAAUUUAGUUGUAACGGAUGGCUCUGUAAAAUCUGGUUGUCACCAACAUCUUAUCUUAAAUCCAAUUGUAAUUGGUAUCCCCAAUCAGAGUUGUAACCGGCACUGUCUUAAAAAAUCAUUUGUAAAUGGUAUGAUAAGUCUGGUUAUCACCAUUCUUGUUUGCAAGUCCAAUUGUUAUUGGCAUUGUCUGUUAAGUCCAGUUGUAACUGGCGCACAUUUUCAAAUCCAGUUGUAUCUGGUAUCCUUUUAAAGUCUGGUUGUCACUAGUAUUUGUCAAAUCCAUCUGUAAAUGGUAUCUUUAAGUUUGGUCGUCAUCAGCACCCUUGAAGUCCAGUUCUAACCGACACUAAUUCGUUUGAGGAUGGUGGCGAUCUAUGAUUAUAGUAUGAGUCCAAUUGUGGUUAGCACCUACAGAGAGUUUUUCUAUCCUGUUGACUCUGGGUUCCUAGAAGGUUGUCAUUUUGACUCUUUCAUUGACAGUAAUUUCCAAAAAAAUUGAUCGGAUAAUUUUCUUGUGAGAAAUCUCCGGAUUUGUCAGGAAUGUUCAAAGUGUCGUCAGGUCAUGUAUGAACCCGUUGAUAUACUCUUUUUGAUUUUUCUAAAUGUCGUCAUAUCAUGUUUGAACCUGCUGUCAGAACUUCUUGAUAUUCCCCAACAUUGCCAAGUCAUGUAUGAACCCAUCGCUGAACCUUUUACUCCAGUAUUACCAGUUCAUGUCUGAACCUAUUUUGAAGAACCUUUUUCUUUGAUUUUUCAGUUGUUAUCAGGUCACUUAUGAACCUGUUUUAGAAAAUUUUCUUAUUCAGGUUUAAUGAGUCAUGUGUGAACUUAUUGACAAAAUCUCUUGUGUUCUAAGUGUCGUUUAUCAGCUUUCACUUUGAUUACUCCCCGUUGUGUGUCUGACUCUCCAGCAAGAUUGUUAUCCCCAACGAGUUAGUUUUACCCUAUUUGUCUGUCUCCCUGUGGACCAUCAGUAUUCCCCACAGAUUGGUUUGUCUGGCAUAACAUCUCCUGUUAAGGGUUCACCAUGUCCCUAACAGAUAAAUUCAGAAACAAAGAGUCUUUCACCCAUGCAUGUCAUGUCACAUCAUUUGCAUUUCAGGAUUAAAAUCCGGCUUUUCUUAAGUAUUUAAUUAUCCUCCACUAUGAUCAUAUGAAGAGUGUCCUACUUCAUAUUCUCUGGUUGAAGAUACUUAAAUAGGGGCAACUGUCACACCCCGAUUUUGACCCCGAUAUUCAUAUCAUUAUUUCAUUCAUUAUUUGUUCCUCAUGAUUUUGUUCCUCUAAUAUGGUACCCCUUUUUCAUGAGCAUCAAGUGGUCUCGUUUUCUGUUAUGGGUGCACCUUGUUGUGUUGUGUGCAUUCAAGGCGAGGUUCUACCGUCAACAUGCUUAGAUACAUAGGCGCAUUCCGCGUCGGUGGUAAUCAAGGAAUUCGAGGAUUAUUGUGCUUGGAUUAGAGUAUGUGGUCAAAAAGAUUUGUCAUGAAAAGCUUUGAUGAACAUUAUUUAUUCAAGGAGAUUCCAGUGGUUUACCAUGUUUUAAGGGAGAGUCAUUAUCAUGUGAGUUUUUCAAGAGGGACCAAGCAUGGUUGUCGUCGGAAUCAAGCUAGUGGCCGAAGGCCAUCCUUUAUUUGCAUGGAUUUUAAUAGAUAAUUCAAGGGAAACACAAAGGAGUCUCAAUCAUGUUCAAUAAUUUGGUUUUGAUAUUGGGAUUUAAAUCUAAAGGGGGGCAUUUGGUCGAAGCUACUGAUACUCACGUGCAAACUUUAUGCUUGGAUCCUAAGGAAGCAAAUGUGCAUCAUGUUAUUGUUAACCAAGCACCAUUCAAAGUAGGCUAAGACCAUGCAAGAGCAAAUAAUAAAUCUUCAUCAGAUCUUAAUUGAAGUGGCAUACAAAGGAGAAAAUAGUAUGUUAAUUGAGGAAAAUUACAAGCAUUGCAAAUGAUGCAAUAAAAUUAGUUGUUGGCCAUUAACACUGGACCAAGCAACCUCAAGAAAAUCUAAUCCGUUGGUCGCUUCAGGAUAGGUUCUGUUUCAAUUUCUUCAUCACUAACUGCUUCAUCAAAACUUAAUAUCCGAAUGUGUAGAAGCUUGAUGGUAGUUGUGUCUUCUAUAUUCCUUAAUACCAUACAAUUUGGUCGACAAUGUAUCCUUAUUGCUCAGGAUCAUUAUCGCACUUAUCAUUGUAAUACGGUUGAGAGGAUUCACUAUGGUCCUUCAUAGCCAUAUCAGCAUCUGCAAUUGUUUUCUCUGUUGACCCAACCGCUGCUUCAGCAACAAACUUAUAAUCUUCAAAAAUAUACGGCAUAACCAUUUGCACUGCCAGAUGAUCUUGUGGAUUGCUGCUUAUUUCAUUCAAUUGACGCAUCUAUCAACUCCUUCACUGGCAGGGUGCUAGCACUGACAAAAGUUUGUUGCCCUUCUAUUAGCUCUUCUGGAAGCUUGAGAAGCUCUUUUUCAGACUCUGCAGUAUCCUAAUCCAUUUGAUGCUCUUUAGCAAUUUCCUUAAAUAGUUUCAACUUCACUUCACCAUGAGGGUUGCAUACUGAGAACUUGUACGAGCAAAUUCUUAGAAGUUUAAUGGCAGGGCUAGCACUAGGUGAUAGUGAUGGAGAGAUUGUCAAUGCAGAUAAUUUCCUGAGUACUUGCAGCCAAGAGUUUCGUGCUCGAGGAACCGAUUUUCUCAAGCGCACUCGUAAAAAUAUGUUGCGGGAACACCUACAAAAAAAAGGAAAAUGAAUGCAAGAGUGAUAGCUUUAACGAGUAUGUCAAGCAGAUUGAUGCCAUAGAGAAGCAAGUAACUGAAUUUGAAGCAGUGGUCUCUAUUCUCGAUAAAUAUGUGGCUCUGUUGGAAUCAAAAGUCCAAUUUGAUUACCAAACCAAAAGUCCUUCGUCCUAAAUAUGGGUUUUAAAAAAAGGUUUGUGUCUGUGAUAUGGGGUGCGACCAAAAGGAUUUUAAUUUAGCUGAAACUGCAACAUGAUCGCAAUUGACCGGGUUUCUUUGCAAUAUCAAGAGACAUGAUGCGACUGCAACCAAUUAUGAAGCGCUUUCCUCUCUGCAACUGUUCAGACCUUACUUGGCAAACUUGCUUCCAAAGAGUUUCUUAAUUACAUCACAAACACCAAGCUCGAUGUCUCACUCUUGAAAAAGUUAAGAGCAACACUACGCACUCUUCAACCUGUGCUAGACACUGCAGAGGAGAAGC